rnacentral:rRNA from 1 species
UACGGAGGGUGCAAGCGUUAUCCGGAUUCACUGGGUUUAAAGGGCGCGUAGGUGGGCCGUUAAGUCAGUGGUGAAAUCUCCGGGCUCAACCCGGAAACUGCCAUUGAUACUAUCUGUCUUGAAUAUCGUGGAGGUAAGCGGAAUAUGUCAUGUAGCGGUGAAAUGCUUAGAUAUGACAUAGAACACCAAUGGCGAAGGCAGCUUACUGGCCGAAUAUUGACGCUGAGGCACGAAAGCGUGGGGAUCAAACCGG